UUGACCUCGGAUCAGGUAGGAAGACCCGCUGAACUUAAGCAUAUCAAUAAGCGGAGGAAAAGAAACCAACAGGGAUUGCCCUAGUAACGGCGAGUGAAGCGGCAACAGCUCAAAUUUGAAAUCUGGCUUCGGCCCGAGUUGUAAUUUGCAGAGGAAGCUUUAGGCGCGGCACCUUCUGAGUCCCCUGGAACGGGGCGCCAUAGAGGGUGAGAGCCCCGUAUAGUUGGAUGCCUAGCCUGUGUAAAGCUCCUUCGACGAGUCGAGUAGUUUGGGAAUGCUGCUCAAAAUGGGAGGUAAAUUUCUUCUAAAGCUAAAUACCGGCCAGAGACCGAUAGCGCACAAGUAGAGUGAUCGAAAGAUGAAAAGCACUUUGAAAAGAGGGUUAAACAGCACGUGAAAUUGUUGAAAGGGAAGCGCUUGUGACCAGACUUGCGCCGGGCUGAUCAUCCGGUGUUCUCACCGGUGCACUCGGCCCGGCACAGGCCAGCAUCGGUUCUCGCGGGGGGAUAAAGGUUCCGGGAACGUAGCUCCUCCGGGAGUGUUAUAGCCCGGGGCGUAAUGCCCUCGCGGGGACCGAGGUUCGCGCAUCUGCAAGGAUGCUGGCGUAAUGGUCAUCAGCGAC
rnacentral:rRNA from 2 species